GUCUAUUGCCAUGGAACCCUGAACAAGCCUGAUCCCAUCUGAUCUCGGAAGCUAAGCAGGGUCGGGCCUGGUUAGUACUUGGUUGGGAGACCACUUCGAAAGACCUGGUGCUGUAGGCG
rnacentral:rRNA from 1 species